rnacentral:rRNA from 1 species
AAAGAAACCAACAGGGAUUGCCCUAGUAACGGCGAGUGAAGCGGCAACAGCUCAAAUUUGAAAUCUGGCACUUGUGCCCGAGUUGUAAUUUGUAGAGGAUGCUUUUGGCGACGCGCCUUCCGAGUUCCCUGGAACGGGACGCCAUAGAGGGUGAGAGCCCCGUCCGGUCGUGCGCCUAGCCUCUGUAAAGCUCCUUCGACGAGUCGAGUAGUUUGGGAAUGCUGCUCUAAAUGGGAGGUAUACGUCUUCUAAAGCUAAAUACCGGCCAGAGACCGAUAGCGCACAAGUAGAGUGAUCGAAAGAUGAAAAGCACUUUGAAAAGAGGGUUAAAUAGUACGUGAAAUUGCUGAAAGGGAAGCGCUUAUGACCAGACUUGGGCGCGGCGGAUCAUCCGGCGUUCUCGCCGGUGCACUCCACCGCCCCAGGCCAGCAUCAGUUCGCGCCGGGGGACAAAGGCUUCGGGAAUGUGGCUCCCUCGGGAGUGUUAUAGCCCGUUGCGUAAUACCCUGGUGCGGACUGAGGUCCGCGCUCUGCAAGGAUGCUGGCGUAAUGGUCAUCAGUGACCCGUCUUGAAACACGGACC